rnacentral:rRNA from 1 species
CCUACGGGAGGCUGCAGUAGGGAAUCUUCCACAAUGGGCGCAAGCCUGAUGGAGCAACACCGCGUGAGUGAAGAAGGGUUUCGGCUCGUAAAGCUCUGUUGUUGGAGAAGAAAGUGCGUGAGAGUAACUGUUCACGCAGUGACGGUAUCCAACCAGAAAGUCACGGCUAACUACGUGCCAGGCGCCGCGGUAAUACGUAGGUGGGAAGCAUUAUCCGGAUUUGUUUGGGGUAAAGGGAGCGCUAGCGGUUGCUUAGAUCUGAUGUGAAAGCCUUCGGCUUAACCGAAGAAGUGCAUCGGAAACCGGGCGACUUGAGUGCAGAAGAGGACAGUGGAACUCCAGGUGUAGCGGUGGAAUGCGUAGAUAUAUGGAAGAACACCAGUGGCGAAGGCGGCUGUCUGGUCUGCAACUGACGCUGAGGCUCGAAAGCAUGGGUAGCGAACAGGAUUAGAUACCCUUGUAGUC